rnacentral:rRNA from 1 species
GGAGGAAAAGAAACCAACAGGGAUUGCCUCAGUAACGGCGAGUGAAGCGGCAACAGCUCAAAUUUGAAAUCUGGGGCCUUCGGCUUCCGAGUUGUAAUUUGAAGAGGAUGUUUCGGUUGUGACCUGGGCCUAAGUUCCUUGGAACAGGACGUCAUGGAGGGUGAGAAUCCCGUACAUGGCUGCAGGUUUACUUCCAUGUGAAACUCCUUCGAAGAGUCGAGUUGUUUGGGAAUGCAGCUCUAAAUGGGUGGUAAAUUUCAUCUAAAGCUAAAUAUUGGCGGGAGACCGAUAGCGCACAAGUAGAGUGAUCGAAAGAUGAAAAGCACUUUGAAAAGAGAGUUAAACAGUACGUGAAAUUGUUGAAAGGGAAGCGCUUGCAAUCAGACUCGCCUUCAGUUGAUCAACGUUCCUUCUGGUGCGUGCACUCUGCUGUUGGCGGGCCAGCAUCAGUUGGGGCGGCGGGACAAAGGCGGCAGGAAUGUGGCUCUCUUCGGGGAGUGUUAUAGCCUGCUGUGCAAUGCCGCCAGCUCCGACUGAGGUCCGCGGUUCUGCCUAGGAUGCUGGCUUAAUGGUUGUAAGCGACCCGUCUUGAAACACGGACCAAGGAGUCUAACAUCUAUGCGAGUCUUUGGGUGUCAAACCCAUGGGCGGAAUGAAAGUGAACGGAGGUGGGAGUCCUCGGAUGCACCAUCGACCGAUCCUGAUGUUCUCGGAUGGAUUUGAGUAUGAGCAUAGCUGUUGGGACCCGAAAGAUGGUGAACUAUGCCUGAAUAGGGUGAAGCCAGAGGAAACUCUGGUGGAGGCUCGCAGCGGUUCUGACGUGCAAAUCGAUCGUCAAAUUUGGGUAUAGGGGCGAAAGACUAAUCGAACCAUCUAGUAGCUGGUUCCA